CUUGUGAGAGGAGGCCCUCCUGAGGAGGGCUUCCCAUAGGGAGGGAGAAUUCUGUUGCCAGGAGAUGCAGACAGGAGAUGCUGUCUAUUUCGAGGAGAUAAAAAUGUCACAAUUAUAGACCAAUGUGUGACAUGCCAGAAGAGAGGGAUGUCUGACACACGUUGUUACCACCCUCAGAACCUAAAAAUCACACUUGGUAGACAUUCAUGCAUUUCUGAUGAAUGAAUGACUCAGCUCCCCCGGCUGAUUGUGAACACUCUCUUCUCCUAACUGGUCCAGAUUUUGAUCAGCUGCUCUUUAGUUCUGUAAGUUGUAGUAGAGGUUUUUAACGCCCAUGUAUUACCUUUCCUCUAAUCCCAGGAGGCAAAGAGUGCCCGAGAGCGCCAGUCUCACAGAAAAGCAUCCUGUGGAAACAGCUCACAGAAUGGGGACUACACAGGAGACAGUAACGACUGUGUUCUGGGGGGCCCGUGCGGCCUUUUUGAGGAAGCCUUCAGCCCCACACCGACAGACACGACCCUUCGUCGAGAGGGAGGCAGGGCGCGGGGGCGGGGGCACCGCCGGGCCCCAGCCUCGGGCGCGCGUCACUCGGCACAAAGGAGACAGCAGGGAGGCGGCCGCGGGAGCCGAACUGCACUCGCCAGCCACUCGCAAUUGCGGUUACAGACCUGCAGUUCCCCUCCCCCUCCCCCUCCCCACCCAGGCCCGCCUGCCCGCCCGCCGGCCUUUCUGUCUCCUCUCUCCCUCCGUACUGGCCGGCCCGGGUCCAUUUCCGGGCUCGGGGUAUUUGGUAUCGAUCUGGGCCGGGGGCGCGGGAGCAGGUGGCUGCGGCGGGGCAGCUGGGCCGCCAGCCUGCUGCGCCGGGGCCCGUCUCCCGCCGCCUUUGUCGCCAGUCUUUGCCCGGCGGCCCGCUCUGUCCUCCGGACUCGGCGCGCGCUGCCGGCCUGACUUUGCGCCGAGUCGGGCGCUGCUGCUGCUCCUGCUGCGCUCCGGGCCGCGCUCGGUGCCGACGGCCGCCGGGCAGCGGGAGGCGAAGGGCAGCCCGGAGCCCGAGCCAACAUGGCUGAAGUCACCAUCGACCAAUCCAAGCUGCCGGGAGUCAAGGAAGAGCCAUUUUGAGUGA
rnacentral:lncRNA from 1 species